rnacentral:misc_RNA from 1 species
AAUUAUCAACCUUGCUCGCUUUUACUAGCUUGAGUUAGGCUUGGAUGUGAGGGUUUUGCAGGCUUUUGUGGUCUGCUCCCUUUAAAUGCAUUAGUGGGAUCUAUUGUGGACCGUCACUUGGUGUGAUAAUUAUCUAUGCCUUGAGACUUUGAAACAAACUUAUUAGAACCUGCUCAUAACCGUCCUUCACGGGACAACUUUUGACAAU